rnacentral:piRNA from 1 species
UCUAAUUGGCAUGUUAUUUUG